rnacentral:rRNA from 1 species
AGGGAAUAUUGGGCAAUGGUCGGAAGACUGACCCAGCCAUGCCGCGUGCAGGAAGACGGCCCUCUGGGUUGUAAACUGCUUUUAUCUGGGAAGAAAAGGGCCAUGCGUGGCAAAUUGCCGGUACCAGAUGAAUAAGCACCGGCUAACUCCGUGCCAGCAGCCGCGGUAAUACGGAGGGUGCAAGCGUUGUCCGGAUUUAUUGGGUUUAAAGGGUGCGUAGGCGGCUGAUUAAGUCAGCGGUGAAAGACUCCGGCUUAACCGGAGCAGUGCCGUUGAUACUGGUUAGCUUGAGUGUUGGAGGGGUACAUGGAAUUGAUGGUGUAGCGGUGAAAUGCAUAGAUACCAUCAGGAACACCGAUAGCGAAGGCAUUGUACUGGCCAACAACUGACGCUGAUGCACGAAAGUGUGGGGAUCGAAC